rnacentral:rRNA from 1 species
GUGGGGAAUAUUGGACAAUGGGGGGAACCCUGAUCCAGCCAUGCCGCGUGUGUGAAGAAGGCCUUUUGGUUGUAAAGCACUUUAAGCGAGGAGGAGGCUACCGAGAUUAAUACUCUUGGAUAGUGGACGUUACUCGCAGAAUAAGCACCGGCUAACUCUGUGCCAGCAGCCGCGGUAAUACAGAGGGUGCAAGCGUUAAUCGGAUUUACUGGGCGUAAAGCGCGCGUAGGUGGCCAAUUAAGUCAAAUGUGAAAUCCCCGAGCUUAACUUGGGAAUUGCAUUCGAUACUGGUUGGGUAGAGUAUGGGAGAGGAUGGUAGAAUUCCAGGUGUAGCGGUGAAAUGCGUAGAGAUCUGGAGGAAUACCGAUGGCGAAGGCAGCCAUCUGGCCUAAUACUGACACUGAGGUGCGAAAGCAUGGGGAGCAAACAGGAUUAGAAACCCCGGUAGUCC